UAAUACAGAGGAUGCAAGUGUUAUUCGGAUUGAUUGGGCGUAAAGCGUCUGUAGGCGGUUUAGAAAGUCUCUUGUGAAAUUCUUCAGCUCAACUGAGGGUCCGCAAAAGAAACUUCUAGGCUUGAGGGAAGUAGAGGUAUAGGGAAUUUCCGGUGGAGCGGUGAAAUGCGUAGAUAUCGGAAGGAACACCAAUAUGGCGAAGGCACUGUACUGGGCUUUUCCUGACGCUAAGAGACGAAAACUAAAGGAGUGAUUAGGAUUAGAUACCCUAGUAAUUUUAGCCGUAAACGAUGGAAACUCACUGCCGAGCCGGUAUUCGGAGCGGUGGUCAAGCUAACGCGUGAAGUUUCCCGCCUGGGGAUUACGCAUGCAAAUGUGAAACUCAAAGGAAUUGACGGGGACCCGCACAAGCGGUGGAGUAUGUGGUUUAAUUCGAUGCAACGCGAAAAACCUUACCAAGGUUUGAAAUCAUUUCAAAACUCUUUGAAAGAAGAGCCUCCUUCGGGAUGAAAUGACAGGUGGUGCAUGGCUGUCGUCAGCUCGUGUUGUGAAAUGUCAAGUUAAGUCUUGUAACGAGCGCAACCCAUGUCUUUUGUUGCUGUUUUCAGUGCUUAAAAGAGACUGCCGCUCUACAGCGGAGGAAGGUGUGGAUGAUGUCAAGUCAGCAUGCCCCUUAUAUCUUGGGCUACACACGUACUACAAUGGUAGGGACAAUGAGUCGCAAACCUGCGAAGGCUAGCCAAUCUCAAAAACCCUAUCUCAGUUCGGAUUGUACUCUGCAACUCGAGUGCAUGAAGGUGGAAUCGCUAGUAAUCGCUGGUCAGCAUACAGCGGUGAAUACGUUCCCGGGUCUUGUACACACUGCCCGUCACACCAUGGAAGUCGACUCUUCCCUAAGUCGUUACUCGAACCGUAAGGACGAGGAUGCCGAAGGCAGGGUUGGUGACUGGGGUGAAGUCGUAACAAGGUAGCCG
rnacentral:rRNA from 1 species